rnacentral:rRNA from 1 species
UACGAAGGGGGCUAGCGUUGUUCGGAAUUACUGGGCGUAAAGCGUAUGCAGGCGGAUCGUUAAGUCGGGGGUGAAAGCCCAGGGCUCAACCCUGGAAUUGCCUUCGAUACUGAAGAUCUCGAGACCGGAAGAGGUAAGUGGAACUGCGAGUGUAGAGGUGAAAUUCGUAGAUAUUCGCAAGAACACCAGUGGCGAAGGCGGCUUACUGGUCCGGUUCUGACGCUGAGGCGCGAAAGCGUGGGGAGCAAACAGG